UACAGGGGGGGCAAGCGUUGUUCGGAAUUACUGGGCGUAAAGGGUUCGUAGGUGGCCAACUAAGUCAGACGUGAAAUCCCUCAGCUUAACUGGGGAACUGCGUCUGAUACUGGAUGGCUCGAGUGCAGGAGAGGAACGCGGAAUUCCAGGUGUAGCGGUGAAAUGCGUAGAUAUCUGGAGGAACACCGGUGGCGAAGGCGGCGUUCUGGACUGCAACUGACACUGAGGAACGAAAGCCAGGGGAGCAAACGGG
rnacentral:rRNA from 1 species